CUUACACAUGCAAGUCGAACGAUGAACCGCUUUCGGGCGGGGAUUAGUGGCGAACGGGUGAGUAACACGUGGGCAAUCUGCCCUGCACUCUGGGACAAGCCCUGGAAACGGGGUCUAAUACCGGAUAUGACCGUCUGCCGCAUGGUGGAUGGUGUAAAGCUCCGGCGGUGCAGGAUGAGCCCGCGGCCUAUCAGCUUGUUGGUGAGGUAGUGGCUCACCAAGGCGACGACGGGUAGCCGGCCUGAGAGGGCGACCGGCCACACUGGGACUGAGACACGGCCCAGACUCCUACGGGAGGCAGCAGUGGGGAAUAUUGCACAAUGGGCGAAAGCCUGAUGCAGCGACGCCGCGUGAGGGAUGACGGCCUUCGGGUUGUAAACCUCUUUCAGCAGGGAAGAAGCGAAAGUGACGGUACCUGCAGAAGAAGCGCCGGCUAACUACGUGCCAGCAGCCGCGGUAAUACGUAGGGCGCAAGCGUUGUCCGGAAUUAUUGGGCGUAAAGAGCUCGUAGGCGGCUUGUCACGUCGGUUGUGAAAGCCCGGGGCUUAACCCCGGGUCUGCAGUCGAUACGGGCAGGCUAGAGUUCGGUAGGGGAGAUCGGAAUUCCUGGUGUAGCGGUGAAAUGCGCAGAUAUCAGGAGGAACACCGGUGGCGAAGGCGGAUCUCUGGGCCGAUACUGACGCUGAGGAGCGAAAGCGUGGGGAGCGAACAGGAUUAGAUACCCUGGUAGUCCACGCCGUAAACGGUGGGCACUAGGUGUGGGCAACAUUCCACGUUGUCCGUGCCGCAGCUAACGCAUUAAGUG
rnacentral:rRNA from 1 species